rnacentral:lncRNA from 1 species
AGCUGACCCAAAAGCAGAAGACAAGUCACAGCAAAGCCAGGGUACAGCUGUCCCUGAGGGGGCGGACCUCGGUCUGAGGUCUCUUCCAGGAGGAGCUCCCGGAAUCCCUCACUCAUGAGUAGGUGUCCGGACUGAGCAGUCCACACAGAUCAUAGGAAUGAAGCAUUGGGUAACAAUGAGCAUAUGGAUCGCAUUAUUUUAAAAAAUAAUGUUCUUGCCGGCGUGGUG